rfam:Gossypium hirsutum cultivar TM-1 unplaced genomic scaffold scaffold458.1, whole genome shotgun sequence
AGCCGUGCUGGGAGCACAGAGCGAACUAUUCUUUCGCCUUUUACUAAAGAAUACCGUGUGCUCACCGCCUAAAGCGGCAUACGCCUAUUUUUGGAGGGUUGUUUCGUUACUGGAA